rnacentral:ncRNA from 1 species
UCUUAUCAAGAGAGGUAGAGGGGAUGGCCCAGGGACACCUCAGCAACCUUCAAUGUUAAGCAUUGAAAAGGUGCUAAAUCCAGCAAGUUUACGAAUAAACUUGAAAGAUAAGA